UGCCGCCCCAUCAAUUGCGAUGGUAAGGUAGUGGCUUACCAUGGUUGCAACGGGUAACGGGGAAUCAGGGUUCGAUUCCGGAGAGGGAGCAUGAGAAACGGCUGCCAGAUCUAUGGAUUGCAGCAGGUGCGAAAAUUAUCCACUUUUGGCAUAAAGAGAUAGUGAUGAUAAAUAACGGAUCUGGGCAUUUGUUCAGAGAUCGUAAUGAAAUAAUCGUAAAAGCUUUAUUGAAAGCAAUUGGAGGGCAAGUCUGGUGCCAGCAGCCGCGGCAAUUCCAGUUCCAAUAGUGUAUACUAAAGUUGCUGCAGUUGAAAAGCUCGUAGUUGGAUCUCGGUUUGCUGGCGCACAAGGUGCGCAAGUAGGCCUGUGCUGUAGUUGAGUGCUACGGCUUUACCUUGAACAAAAUAGAGUGCUUAAGGCAAGCAUUCUGCUUGAAUAUCUCAGCAUGGAAUAAUAGAAAAAGACUUUCUAUUGGUUAGCCAGUGAAAGUAAUGAUUAACAGAGACAGACGGGGGCAUUCGUAUUGCACCGCUAGAGGUGAAAUUCGUAGACCGGUGCAGGACGAACUACAGCGAAAGCAUUUGCCAAGGAUGUUUUCAUUAAUCAAGAACGACAGUUGGAGUAUCGAAGUCGAUUAGAUCUCGUCGUAGUUCCAACUAUAAACGAUGCCAACUAGCACUCCGCUAAUAAUGUUUGUUACAUUAGCGGGUGGCUUCCGGGAAACCAAAGUCUUUGGGCUCCGGGGGAAGUAUGGUUGCAAAGCUGAAACUUAAAGGAAUUGACGGAAGGGCACCACCAGGAGUGGAGCCUGCGGCUCAAUUUGACUCAACACAGAAAAACUCACCCGGGCCGAACACAGUAAGGAUUGACAGAUUGAUAGCUUUUUCUUGAUACUGUGGGUAGUGGUGCAUGGCCGUUGUUGGUUGGUGGAGUGAUCUGUCUGGUUAAUUCCGAUAACGAACGAGACUCAAGCCUGCUUAUAAGUUGGUCGAUUCUGGUCGAUCAACUACUUAGAGGGAUCAGUGUAUAAAACACUUGAAAAUGAGCAAUAACAGGUCUGUGAUUGCCCUUAGACGUUCGGGGCUGCACGCGCGCUACAAUGAAGAAAGCAGUGGGUGACUUGCUUGAGAAGGCAAGCCAAACCUUAAAAUUUCUUCGUGGCAGGAAUCGAGGCUUGUAAUUAUUCCUCGUGCACAAGGA
rnacentral:rRNA from 1 species